rnacentral:rRNA from 1 species
GCGUGCCUAACACAUGCAAGUCGGACGGGCUCCGGGUAGCAAUAUCCGGGGCCAGUGGCGAACGGGUGAGUAACACGUGGGUAACCUGCCCUCGAGUGGGGAAUAAGCUCCCGAAAGGGGGUCUAAUACCGCAUAACGUUUCAUGGCGAUGGUCAUGAAACCAAAGCCCAAAAGGCGCUCGAGGAGGGGCCUGCGGCCUAUCAGCUAGUUGGUAGGGUAAUGGCCUACCAAGGCUACGACGGGUAGCCGGCCUGAGAGGGUGUCCGGCCACACUGGGACUGAGACACGGCCCAGACUCCUACGGGAGGCAGCAGUGGGGAAUUUUGCGCAAUGGGGGAAACCCUGACGCAGCGACGCCGCGUGGAGGAUGAAGGCCUUCGGGUUGUAAACUCCUGUCAGAGGGGACGAAAUCCCGCAAGGGACUGACGGUACCCUCAGAGGAAGCCCCGGCUAACUACGUGCCAGCAGCCGCGGUAAUACGUAGGGGGCAAGCGUUACUCGGAAUUACUG